UCAACUCCGGGUGUUGAAAUGGCUCUUUUUCGUUAACGCCGGGUUAUCGGUAACUCACACUUCAACUCUUGAUGGUGAAACCGGCCAUAAGGAAAUUAGAUCAUUACCCCCGCGGUACACAUUAUGGUAUAAAGCGUCGAUGAGCUGUUGUUAACGCGUUAUUAAAAAUACAAUAAUAUUAUGCCUACCCUACAACGGCGGUGACGUCGAAAAAAUACCGUUAUCGGACGUUAACAGACGAUUUUUCAAACGACAUUUAUCGCAAUAACACAGCGUGG